UACAGAGGUCUCGAGCGUUGUUCGGAUUCAUUGGGCGUAAAGGGCGCGUAGGCGGCGGGGUAAGUCUGGUGUGAAAUCUCGGAGCUCAACUCCGAAAUUGCACUGGAUACUGCUCUGCUAGAGGGCUGGAGAGGAGAUCGGAAUUCACGGUGUAGCAGUGAAAUGCGUAGAUAUCGUGAGGAAGACCAGUGGCGAAGGCGGAUCUCUGGAACAGCUCCUGGACGCUGAGGCGCGAAGGCUAGGGGAGCAAACGGG
rnacentral:rRNA from 1 species